rnacentral:rRNA from 1 species
GAUGAACGCUAGCUACAGGCUUAACACAUGCAAGUCGAGGGGCAGCAUGGUCUUAGCUUGCUAAGGCCGAUGGCGACCGGCGCACGGGUGAGUAACACGUAUCCAACCUGCCGUCUACUCUUGGACAGCCUUCUGAAAGGAAGAUUAAUACAAGAUGGCAUCAUGAGUCCGCAUGUUCACAUGAUUAAAGGUAUUCCGGUAGACGAUGGGGAUGCGUUCCAUUAGAUAGUAGGCGGGGUAACGGCCCACCUAGUCUUCGAUGGAUAGGGGUUCUGAGAGGAAGGUCCCCCACAUUGGAACUGAGACACGGUCCAAACUCCUACGGGAGGCAGCAGUGAGGAAUAUUGGUCAAUGGGCGAGAGCCUGAACCAGCCAAGUAGCGUGAAGGAUGACUGCCCUAUGGGUUGUAAACUUCUUUUAUAAAGGAAUAAAGUCGGGUAUGCAUACCCGUUUGCAUGUACUUUAUGAAUAAGGAUCGGCUAACUCCGUGCCAGCAGCCGCGGUAAUACGGAGGAUCCGAGCGUUAUCCGGAUUUAUUGGGUUUAAAGGGAGCGUAGAUGGAUGUUUAAGUCAGUUGUGAAAGUUUGCGGCUCAACCGUAAAAUUGCAGUUGAUACUGGAUAUCUUGAGUGCAGUUGAGGCAGGCGGAAUUCGUGGUGUAGCGGUGAAAUACUUAGAUAUCACGAAGAACUCCGAUUGCGAAGGCAGCCUGCUAAGCUGCAACUGACAUUGAGGCUCGAAAGUGUGGGUAUCAAACAGGAUUAGAUACCCUGGUAGUCCACACGGUAAACGAUGAAUACUCGCUGUUUGCGAUAUACAGCAAGCGGCCAAGCGAAAGCGUUAAGUAUUCCACCUGGGGAGUACGCCGGCAACGGUGAAACUCAAAGGAAUUGACGGGGGCCCGCACAAGCGGAGGAACAUGUGGUUUAAUUCGAUGAUACGCGAGGAACCUUACCCGGGCUUAAAUUGCAGAUGAAUUACGGUGAAAGCCGUAAGCCGCAAGGCAUCUGUGAAGGUGCUGCAUGGUUGUCGUCAGCUCGUGCCGUGAGGUGUCGGCUUAAGUGCCAUAACGAGCGCAACCCUUGUUGUCAGUUACUAACAGGUUCCGCUGAGGACUCUGACAAGACUGCCAUCGUAAGAUGUGAGGAAGGUGGGGAUGACGUCAAAUCAGCACGGCCCUUACGUCCGGGGCUACACACGUGUUACAAUGGGGGGUACAGAGGGCCGCUACCACGCGAGUGGAUGCCAAUCCCAAAAACCUCUCUCAGUUCGGACUGGAGUUCUGCAGCCCGACUCCACGAAGCUGGAUUCGCUAGUAAUCGCGCAUCAGCCACGGCGCGGUGAAUACGUUCCCGGGCCU